rnacentral:rRNA from 1 species
GGUUAAGCGACUAAGCGUACACGGUGGAUGCCCUGGCAGUCAGAGGCGAUGAAGGACGUGCUAAUCUGCGAUAAGCGUCGGUAAGGUGAUAUGAACCGUUAUAACCGGCGAUUUCCGAAUGGGGAAACCCAGUGUGAUUCGUCACACUAUCAUUAACUGAAUCCAUAGGUUAAUGAGGCGAACCGGGGGAACUGAAACAUCUAAGUACCCCGAGGAAAAGAAAUCAACCGAGAUUCCCCCAGUAGCGGCGAGCGAACGGGGAGCAGCCCAGAGCCUGAAUCAGUGUGUGUGUUAGUGGAAGCGUCUGGAAAGGCGCGCGAUACAGGGUGACAGCCCCGUACACAAAAAUGCACAUACUGUGAGCUCGAUGAGUAGGGCGGGACACGUGGUAUCCUGUCUGAAUAUGGGGGGACCAUCCUCCAAGGCUAAAUACUCCUGACUGACCGAUAGUGAACCAGUACCGUGAGGGAAAGGCGAAAAGAACCCCGGCGAGGGGAGUGAAAAAGAACCUGAAACCGUGUACGUACAAGCAGUGGGAGCCUCUUUAUGGGGUGACUGCGUACCUUUUGUAUAAUGGGUCAGCGACUUAUAUUCUGUAGCAAGGUUAACCGAAUAGGGGAGCCGAAGGGAAACCGAGUCUUAACUGGGCGUUAAGUUGCAGGGUAUAGACCCGAAACCCGGUGAUCUAGCCAUGGGCAGGUUGAAGGUUGGGUAACACUAACUGGAGGACCGAACCGACUAAUGUUGAAAAAUUAGCGGAUGACUUGUGGCUGGGGGUGAAAGGCCAAUCAAACCGGGAGAUAGCUGGUUCUCCCCGAAAGCUAUUUAGGUAGCGCCUCGUGAAUUCAUCUCCGGGGGUAGAGCACUGUUUCGGCAAGGGGGUCAUCCCGACUUACCAACCCGAUGCAAACUGCGAAUACCGGAGAAUGUUAUCACGGGAG